rnacentral:rRNA from 1 species
GAUGAACGCUGGCGGCGUGCUUAACACAUGCAAGUCGAGCGAGAAGUUUUGAAAAGAUUCUUCGGAUGAAAUUUAAAAUGGAAAGCGGCGGACGGGUGAGUAACGCGUAGGCAACCUGCCCCAUACAAAGGGAUAGCAUUUGGAAACGAAUAUUAAUACCUUAUGAAACUUAACUAGUGCAUGCUAGGUAGGUCAAAGAUUUAUCGGUAUGGGAUGGGCCUGCGUCUGAUUAGCUAGUUGGUGAGGUAACGGCUCACCAAGGCGACGAUCAGUAGCCGACCUGAGAGGGUGAACGGCCACAUUGGAACUGAGACACGGUCCAAACUCCUACGGGAGGCAGCAGUGGGGAAUAUUGCACAAUGGGGGAAACCCUGAUGCAGCAACGCCGCGUGAACGAUGAAGGCCUUUGGGUCGUAAAGUUCUGUUCUAGGUGAUGAAAACUGACAGUAACCGAGGAGAAAGCCCCGGCUAACUCCGUG